AUUAACACAUAACUUUAAAUUCAGUAAGUUAAUGCUAAACUCUCCAGUCAAGGUUUUAACUUUGUGUUGUGCAAGAUUCCAUCUUUGUUUCUCACAGAGUAGGAGUCCUGAAUCCUGCAACCCUGAUACACCUUGUCCAAUAAAGGGGUACCUCACACAGAUGGCCCAGAUCAUUCUAAGGCCAAACCAAGCCCAGACCUUUGAGAGACUGCCUUGGGUCCAGAAUAAGAAUAUUGGACACUGAUGGUUCCAGCUGCACCACAGUCAAGGAGAGGGUGGAGGAAUGGAGAGACGCAUUCAGAACAAAGAGGCUCCUACAUCCAUGACUGUAACAGCCAGGAGCCACUUGACUGGACAUGGGAAAAUUAAGGAGGAGAAAAAGGGAGGAGAGAUAGAACCCCCAGCAUAUGAAGAUGACCUUGUACUCGGUACAGACCGGGCACCAUUAUAUCCAGUGUUACGUUUAGAGAAGGGGAUAUUGUCUUUAGACACACAGAACAGCAGGCCCAUAACUCAAUUCACAGGAAAGCAAGAUAAGAGAAAGUUGAGUAGGAAGGUGGAGUCAGAGAGUGAGACAGAUGCUGAGGAGGAGGUGAAACCGUUCAAGGCAAGGGCAGUGAGAGAGUACGGGAGAUACGAGGAGAGGAGGCGACUAGGAGAUAAUAGACAGGAUGAGAUUACAGGGGCCAGAAAGAAAAGAUCAGGCCGUACUAAAGGCAGGUUAGGUGAGGACUCAAGGUUGGGGUCGGACGAUAGUGACACAGUGAAAAGGACAAAAACUCACAUAAAGGACGGGUGGUACUCACGGGGCAAGCAGUAGGGAGAUGGACUGACUCAGACGAAGACCCUGACGCAGACAUUAGCGGAGAUGGGAGUAAGGGAGACGCAGACGUAUACCCUCUGCCGCGUACGCCCCCACCAGAACAUAAACUACACCAUGACGCAGUAGAAUCAAUUCAAAAGACUCAAAAUAAAAUGUAUACGCGGUCACAAGCAGGGGAAGCUAGUUGUGCUGGGUUUCAGCUGCCUCUCUUUAGAGUGGGAGGCGGCGAACCGCGAUAUAAACCAUUGGGGCUGGGAGACGUACAGGCACUGGUAGAUAAAUUACCCCCGAUGGGAGAGGGAGGUGGACUAUGGUUGUCACAAUUUGAUAAACUCACAGCUGGUCAAAUGUUGGCACUGGGGGACUGGAGGGCAGUAGCCGCCCGAGCCAUGUCUGCCCAGGCUAUGACUGAUGUCUGCCCACCACUCCUUUCAGUCAGGUGGUCGGGCGCAUAGCCACAGCCCUGAGGGAACGAUUUCCCUUGCCCGCUGGGGCCCCGAUGCCCAAGUUACCUUGGGAAAAAGAGCAACACCCUAGACAGUAUCUAGAAGCAUGUAAAGACACAGGGGCCAAACACACAGGGCACCACCCGGGGAAGGGGGGUCUGCAGCAGGAGUGGUUUAGAAGGGUGGUCUUAGAGGGACUUCCAGAGAAAAUAAAAGAGGCAAUGAUGGCAAAUCCUGACUUGCCGGGUAGUGAAUCACAGAGGGGCUCCAGGAGCCCAAGUCCCAUACGGAGUCUGCUUUACGUGUGGUGACCCGAACCACUGGUCCAGAGACUGCCCACAGAACACUGCAAGGGGCAGAGGAUACCCAAACGAAGGGGCAGCUCCAGUUCCCAACCCACACGCCGUCCCACCACCAAGUGUACCUGGACAAUACCCACUCUCUUAUGAGGGAGGGUGGGACCAGGAAUGACGGUCUACAGGGAGGGGAGGGGACAGCGGGGGAAAGGCAGACCCUAUGCUGUCCCUGAAUGUCGACGGGAAGGACUUCCCCUUUCUGGUUGACACAGGUGCCACGUUUUCCACCAUCACCGCCCCUCCCGUCACAGGACUACUAUCCUCCAAGACAGUGGAAGUUGUGGGGUUUGAAGGAGUGGGACAGACUUUGCCAGUGACAUUUCCUCUUAAAACGAUACUGGAUGGACUAACUGUCACGUUACCAGACGGGACAUCGGCGGUGUGCGGACCUGAAACCACACGCAAAGGGCAGUACCUGGUACAACCGGUGAAGGGUGAAAUAGCAGAGAUAUACUGGGGACUAUUGAUACCGGAAAAGCCGGACAAACAGGGUAUUUUGUCCCAGUACUUCAAAUGGAGGCCGUGGAUCUCCCUCCUCGAGCCGUACUUUCCUCCGCCAGACCCCCCACAUGUAACCCUAUUUUAUGAUCGGCAGGGCGAUGAGGUGUAUAGAGAGGGGUUUGGGGAUGUAGUAUGUGGGGACACGUGGCAGGUCGGGUCUAAAUUCAUAUAUGUAGGCCCUGAAGGGGUAGCGGCAGAUGUACAGUUGACAGAGGAGCAGGAUCAGUGGUACAUGAUGGCGGAGGAGUCCGUCCCGUAUGUGGCACUGGCCCUGCAUCCUAAACACCAAGCAAAAGACCUGGGGCCCAUGGUUAAAAGGGCAGUCUAAUGCACUGAUUGGACACUCCCUCAGGCGCCAAACGUAUGGUACUCACACAGCUGUAAGACCUAAAAAUGGUUCACCUGCAUUGACCUGGCUAACACUUUUUUCUGUCUUCCACUAGCAGAGGAACUUCGUGAUAUUUUUUCUUUCACACAUAGGGGUCGACAAUGGCGAUACACGACCUGCUGAUUGCGGCUCCGACGGUGGCCGCCUGCAUCCAAACUACAAUGACGGUCCUCACCAGACUGGCAGAGAAAGGGUUGAAGGUAUCAAAAGAAAAGCUACAGCUGGUAAGCACGCAGGUCUCCUUUCUGGGCAGAGUAAUCUCGCAGAAAGGAGCGGGGCUUUCCCCAGCUCACCGCACAACCAUCCUCCACCAUCCUAAACCCACUACUGUUCAGGAAAUGCUAUCAUUCCUGGGGCUCACGGGGUACAGCCGCAAUUACAUCCCAAACUAUUCAGGGCUCACAGAGCUUCCCCACAAGAGAAAACAAUUUGGCAACAGAGACGAGCAACAGAGACGAGCGGGCUCUGGAGAGGGCCAGACGGUAGAGUAAUACUUCCACCAGCCAUGCGGGGAGAUAAAUUUGCUGAAGCCCAUGGGUUGGGCCAUGUAGGGCCAGCACAGAUGUUAAGGAACUUGUGCCAUUGGUGGCACCCGUUUAUGGUAGACAUGGUACGUAACUACACUAGGACAUGCACCAUCUGCACUCACCACAAUCCAAAACCGACGAUCAAACCUGAGAUGGGGGCAUUCCCCAUGACGACGAGGCCUGGACAAGAGAUAGUGAUAGAUUACACGGACAUGGGGGAAACUGUACGGGGGUGCCGCUACAUGUUAGUGUGUGUGGACAUGUUCACAGGGUGACUAGAAGCCUGGCCAGCUAGAAGGGAGUACAGUCAGACAGUGAUCAAGUGUUUAGUGAACCAGUACAUUCCCAGACACGGCUUCCCAGAGAAAAUUAGGUCAGACAAUGGGACUCACUUUAAGAACAGUGAUUUACAGAAGGUAGAGAGCUUAUUGGGCCUAAAACAUGCUUUUGGCACUGUGUACCAUCCACAGUCCCAGGGAAAGGUAGAAAGGAUGAACCAAAACUUAAAAAACAAGUUGGCUAAGAUAUGUGCACAGACUAAAUUGAACUGGGUAGAUGCACUGCCACUGGCACUCAUGAUGAUUCGAUGCUCGUUAAAUCAGACCACUGGGUUUACCCCAUAUGAGCUGCUGACGGGGAGACAGUUUCUAGGACCAACCGCGGGGCCUGCGGUCCCGGAAGGGGAAAAGUGGCCCAAAGACCACAGAGUGUAUUUUGAUGAAUUGCGAGCUCUCGUUUCAGAAUUCACCAACAGAGUCGGAGAAAGGAGGGACCUGCACCCCCGCUGGACCAGAACCUGCCCCAGGCGGAGUGGGUGUUGCUGAAGGUCAUCAAGCGAAAGUGGUCUGAGCCAAGGUGGACGGGUCCUCAUCAGGUGGUGGAGAGAACGAGUCAUGCGGUCCGCCUGAGGGACAAAGGAGAGACAUGGUACCAUUGGAGCCAGUGUACACCAGCGCAGGAGCCAGGGAGGUCGCUAACGGACCUCAUCCAAACCGGGAAGGAGGAGCUUUCCCCAGUGUGGACGGAAGGAGGACCAGCACCAGCCGGACCGGUGCCAGGAGCGGACCCCAGGACACGGCGGGACUACGAGCGAGAGAAGGAGACAAAGGACAGCGCCAGGGGAAUAGACUCUUAGGGGAAAGAACUGAGGAAUACUGUAACAAAAGGGGGUAUAGGACACAGAGUGGCUACCACUCGUACCAAGAUGACAGGGUUACAGAGAAAGGUCUGGGGAGAUGAUAGUAGAAUGAAAUGGUAUAUGGGAAUUGGUGGUAUAACGAUGUGUGUUGUGUGUUGUUACAGGUUUCCCAGGUUGGCAUUGGGUCUUCAUUCCCCCAUCGAAGAGGUUUGCGACCCCACCUGAGGACACCUGUUUGAGGAAAUUUGGGGGAUUGAAUUGGACUAUGUCAAGGGGUCGCAUACGAGCAUUCUGGGAUAGAUAAUCCGCUGGAGGAAUGGCUGACCUCGAUGUUCGGCCAGUGGAGAGGUUUGAUAAUGUCUGUUCUUUUAUCGCUAUCUACAUUUGGUGCUAUAAUGGUUACUUGUGUGUGUUGUUGUAUCCCAUGCAUAAGAGGGCUUGCCAUGAGAGUGAUCUCUACAGCCAUUGAGAAGGCUCCAGGACCGCCACCAGGGAUGCUGAUGCCUCUACUGGAGCAGCAUGACCUGGGAGAACUGGAGCUUGGCGAAUAGGGGUGAUCUCUCUGGGGAGAGAUCAAAAGGGGGAAUUGUAAAUGUAUUGAUUGUAUGAGUUAGUGAAUUGUUGUAAGCUGUUGUAACCAAUGUAGAUGUAUUGAUUGUAUAAGUUAGUGAACUGUUGUAAGCUGUUGUAACCAAUGAAACAAAAUAUAAAUUGUUUGUAAUAUGAGCUGAAACUGAAGGAGCAAGUAGGAGAAUAGGAAACCCUGUUCAAGCGGUUGCCGGGGAGAGAAAGAUUUAGUAUGUCUGUUUUGUGAGAAACAGGUCACAGGUCAGAGACACACACACAUAGUCGGACAGAAAACACAGAAACCACGAGGGGGGCAAGGGGGUACUUGAAGUUAUCCUAUAAGGAAUAGAACUGGGAUUGGGCCAAGGGCACACUUGCUUUGUAAGUUAACGCCUCUAUCUUUUUGGGCGGAGUAGAAGUAUAAAAAUGAUGUUUUGACUGUUGAUCCUUAGACAUUGUGCGGCGACACUUGUCUCCAGAAGCUUCUGUAAUAAAUG
ensembl:lncRNA